rnacentral:rRNA from 1 species
AGACUCUGUGCGCGUGCAUAUCAAUAAGCGGAGGAAAAGAAACUAACAAGGAUUCCCUUAGUAACGGCGAGUGAAGCGGGAAGAGCUCAAAUUUGAAAUCUUCAAGGUUCUACCUUGACGAAUUGUAGUUUAUAGAAGUGUUUUCUGUUAGUAGAGUGGCAAAAGUUCUUUGGAAUAGGACAUCAUAGAGGGUGAGAAUCCCGUAUUUGGUCAUUCUUUCUAGCUUUGUGAUACACUUUCAACGAGUCGGAUUGUUUGGGAAUGCAGUCCAAAAUGGGCGGUAAAUUUCAUCUAAAGCUAAAUAUUGGCGAGAGACCGAUAGCGAACAAGUACCGUGAGGGAAAGAUGAAAAGAACUUUGAAAAGAGAGUUAAACAGUACGUGAAAUUGUCAAAAGAGAAGCGUUUGACACCAGUGUUGUUUUUCCGAAAAUCAAUUACGAAUGUUUUGUUUUUGAGGAGUUAUGACUUCAUCGGCUUGCUUCUUUCUUUACGAAACUUUCUUAAUGCACUUUUCGGUUAACAAGUCAACAUCAAUUUCUUUUGUUGUAAAAGGGUACUGAGGAAGGUGGCUUUCUUUUCGGAGAAAGUGUUUAUAGCCUUGUAGCCUCUGCAAUCGGAGAGAUUGAGGUCUGCAGCGUAGAUCCUUCGGGGUUAGAUACAGUUUGUGCUAAGUUAUAGCUUUUCAUAGACAACUUGUUGACUAUGUUAGUCUUGUAGCCUACUCGCUUAUGCUAUUUUACCUACGCUUAGGAUGUUGACGAUCAGCUGAGCGCG